AAAGGGUAUGUGAAACUUGAGUUAAAAAAAAAAAAUCAGGUAAUGACACGUAAAUAGCUUGGGAACUUCUGUAACUGAUUCUUCACAUAUCAUUACUAUUGAACUUCUUACAUCACAGUACAUUUCCUUUUUGCUCUGCAAAAUAUGACUUCUGAGAAAGUAAAGCUCACACUGCGGUGGCUCAAGGCUCAUAUUAAGUGAUCACUGGGAAAAAGAAAACAUUUUAAUACAGGGAAACAGGUUCAACAAUAUGAGUUUAUGACUUCAUUUUGCUAUAAAAUCCUGCUGUUUCCAAGAAAGGUAUGCUUAACACGGUUCUCUCUCUCCCUGAAAGCUAAAGGAGGUUCACUCAACCUUAACGCUUCCAAUGAGCCGGAUCACUAAGGGUGAAUACAAUCCUGCAGUGACUUCCCUUCCUUGUGGUGCAGCACUGCAUGGUACUGCUAGGACAGGGAAGCAGGGGAAGCAGACAUUCAUUUCAAAAAGUGUGUGGAAACCACUUUAAAAGGAUAUUAAUCGUCACCAUGGUAGUUAACGGACCUUUUCUCUCUAGCCUAAUAUUCCAAGCACAGGAGGAAAAAGCAUCAGGACCAAGUAUAGCAGUGAUGGCAAGAGCUCAACAGAGCAAUGGACUCAGUCACAGACAAGUACUUGCAGAACCAACUUCCUCUGCUGCAAAUGACACAAAAUGGUUAUAUGAUGUCCUCCUCAUCAUUGCCAUGGUCUGCGCCGGAAGGAAGAUGGCGGACACAAAAUGCAGAGCUCCAGGCUUUAUUAAAGGGGAAAUCCAGAAAUCUAAGUCAUCAUACAGGCCAGCUGCUUCCAGAGAGUCUGCUGGUUCCUCCCACGCCUCCUGGACCAGGACCCAGGCCCGGCACGUAAAGACAGCACUUCAAGCCAGCUCAGAGCGAUCCCCAGCUGCUCUCUGGCAACUGCAGACCAUUUGUUUGUUGCCACAAUCAGUCUUCGGCAGACGCGGUAGCAGAGGUCCCUAGUUCAAAUCCACUUCCGCUGCAAUACUGACUGUUUGAUAUACCAAAAUCGCUCAUGUAAAAAAU